rnacentral:rRNA from 1 species
CCUACGGGGUGCAGCAGUGAGGAAUAUUGGUCAAUGGACGCAAGUCUGAACCAGCCAUGCCGCGUGCAGGAUGACGGCUCUAUGAGUUGUAAACUGCUUUUGUACGAGGGUAAUAUCAGAUACGUGUAUCUGCUUGAAAGUAUCGUACGAAUAAGGAUCGGCUAACUCCGUGCCAGCAGCCGCGGUAAUACGGAGGAUGCGAGCGUUAUCCGGAUUUAUUGGGUUUAAAGGGUGCGUAGGCGGGCAUUUAAGCCGGCGGUCAAAUGUCGGGGCUCAACCCCGGCCUGCCGUCGGAACUGGGGGCUUGGAGUGGGCGAGAAGUAUGCGGAAUGCGUGGUGGAGCGGUGAAAUGAAGAGAUAUCACGCAGAACCCGGAUUGAGAAGGCAGCAUACCGGGGCCCUACUGACGCGGAGGCACGAAAGUGCGGGUAUCGAACAGGAUUAGAUACCCGUGUAGUC